rnacentral:rRNA from 1 species
GAUGAACGCUGGCGGUAUGCUUAACACAUGCAAGUCGAACGGACUCUUCGGAGUUAGUGGCGGACGGGUGAGUAACGCGUGAGAAUCUGGCUUUGGGUUCGGGACAACCACUGGAAACGGUGGCUAAUACCGGAUGUGCCGAGAGGUAAAAGAGAAAUUGCCUGAAGAUGAGCUCGCGUCUGAUUAGCUAGUUGGUGAGGUAAAGGCUCACCAAGGCAGCGAUCAGUAGCUGGUCUGAGAGGAUGACCAGCCACACUGGGACUGAGACACGGCCCAGACGCCUACGGGAGGAAGCAGUGGGGAAUGUUCCGGAAUGGGCGAAAGCCUGACGGAGGAAUUCCGCGUGAGGGAAGAAGGCUCUUGGGGUGUAAAACUCUUUUCUUAGGGAAGAACAAAAUGACGGUACCUAAGGAAUCAGCAUCGGCUAACUCCGUG